AUGAUUCUAUGGGUGUAAAUGACAUAGAUAUAAGCCUGUACAUCCCAAGAGAUGUAGAAGAGACAGGUAUCACUGUGGCCAGUGGUGAAAGAUUCAGCACAUAUGCNCCAGAUAAAGACGAGAACAAAUUAAGUGAAGCUUCUGGGGGUCUGGCUGAAAAUGGAGAAAGAAGUGAUUUGGACGAGGACAGCGGAGGGGGAGGACAGGAAAAUGGAUCCAUCGAUGCAGUUCCUGUUGAUGAAAACCUGUUCACUGGCGAAGAUCUGGAUGAACUAGAAGAAGAAUUGAACACUCUUGAUCUAGAAGAAUGACAAGGACGAAAACUAGGUCAGCUCAAUAUGAUCAACAUGAACUGAGAUUGACUACAUUAAUUGUUUGGCCACCUAGAAUCAACAGGAUGUUUAUUUCCCCAUGAUGAUUCUGGAGGGAUUCUGUCCUCCACAAAAGGAAUACUAUCCCUGCGUCUUCUCUUCUGACUUUGACUACAUCUCAUAGUAAGUUCAGAGUAGUUGGUGNUAAAUUAAAAAUGGUCAUUACAGAAGAUGAUUGNUGUUGUAACUGUCCACUCACGUAGGAAGUGUAACCACUUUUCCAGCUUUUGGUUUUCAUUGGGCAUGUGUAAUUUCCAGAAACAACAAAUUCACACUUAAGAUACUUGNGUUUGAUGCAGUUUUUAAUGAGUGGUUUCCUUUCCUUUGUAUUUAUAUGUUUUAGAGACUGCCUGAAAGGUGAGCACUGUACUUGAUAAAGGAAACUGCAUAUGCAGAUUAAGUAUUGUACUUCUGUGGACAAUUAGGUGGACACUGAGAAUGGGACUUGUCAACCCGACAGGGUCAGCUGCAGUGCCCUGUGUUAAAGCUGUUUGAAGUUCUCCCCUUUUUUGCCAAUAAAGUUGUAAAUAAAAAACAUCAUACAUCCAAA